CCGAACCCUUUAGAGUUAUGGGGAAAUUUUGGAUUGUAAUUGAAGAGGACAUUGUGGGCUUUCCAAUGGUAUCAAAAUUCGAUAGUUUUGAUGGUCGAAAGUUGCCGAAAAAAUACCUUAAAAGUCGCCCAAAAAAUCUGAAAAUCUGGGCAGAUUUUCAAAAUUUUUGGGCAACUUUUAAGGCAAUUUUUCGAUCGAAUCCCUUGGAAUUAUAAUGAGAUUUUGGGUGGUAAUUGAAGAGGACAUCGUGGGCUUUCCAACGGUAUCAAAAUUCGACAUUCUUUGUGGUCGGAAGUUGUCGAAAAUUUGCCAUAAAAGUCGUCCAAUUAUUUGAAGAGACGAGUGGUGAAUAAGUAAUUAUAUAAAAAG
rnacentral:lncRNA from 1 species